UCGAUUACGAUUACAAGUUGAGACACCUGUCGUCUCUUUUCUUUCCUUGUAAUGUUUUGCUCUCUCCUCCUUCUCAAAACCCAACUUCUGAUAACUAAAAUUUUCAUUGGAUAGCAAUUCAUUUCUCUGUAUUUCCGUAAUUGAUUAAUAAGUUUCGAUUAUAUAGCUAGGGUUGAUGUGAGAUUUGUAUAUCUAGAUGGAUCUAUUUCUAUGUUGGUUUUGAGAGGCUGAAGCUGCCAGCAUGAUCUGGUAAUCGCUACAUACGACAUAUAUACAUAUACAUGCUAAUUUAAUUUACUUCCACAUAUAUCAAUGUAUCCAGGGCCUGCUGAGGCGCAGGGACAAGGGGUGGGGCGUGGACCCAGGGUCCAAAAUUUUUUUGGCAUAAUUAAUGUUAAAAUGGAGUUUGAUUUUCAAAAAAAAAAAAUUAAAAAGGUUUCAAAAUUUUUAAGUUAUUCAUAGAGUAUAUGUAAAUUUUUUUUUGAAAAACUAUUUUCCCCAAAGACCUAUAAUUUAGUUGAGCCGGCCCCAAAUGUAUCUCUCAAAUUAAUAUAAUCUUAGUAUUUUUUUUUUUUGAAGUCGAAAGGUCAUUCUAUUAUUUAGACUAGAGGUGGUCUGGGUAACCAGACCGGAAUAGAGCAACCAAUAAAAAAUAACUCCCUAUGGAAGGAUUUUGUAGUUUUUGUUAAAAAAUCUGAAAUCUGAUUUCGCGCUUUUGGUAUAUGAGUGAUGCUGAAGUCCGGGAAGCAUAUUUGAAACGUGUUAAUAAAAUGUGUUUUCUCCUCUUUUUCAUGGAUGCAUGCAUGUAUGUGUGUGUAUAAGUGUAUAGAUAGUGGUACCAGAUCAUCCUGCGGCUUCAUUCACUCAAAUCACCAACAAUGAACUUAAGCUUCUUAAGAAAAACGAUUCCAGCUGUCGACUUUUACGACUUCCCUCUGUUAUCACUGGAGAGUGCCACAUCAUCAGUUAGAAGGGGGCAAAUGCUGACACGUCAGCUUCUCUAUCUGAAAACGCAAAUGUUUCGUCUCUUCGAGAAUUUCUUAAUGGGCCAGUUAUUAUAGCUACUACACGACACUAAACUUAGUCUCAACGUUAUAAUUGCAUGUUUGACCAUUUUGAAAACGAUGGGCUACUAGGUGAAUUUAAUUAUAACGAGAAGCCCAUCUACGUUCUGUAGUCUUAUUCUUCCUGAACCUUUUGUUGUCUAACCGAAGAAGAACGCAGGGCGACGAUUGAAAAUUUUUUCCUUCGAUUUUCAAAGACAAGUAACGCCUUCCUAUAGCAUUCAAUUGCUCCCUGUAAUGAUUGCAAUAACAACCAUUAAACCACUCUCUCCACUCCUUCGUAUUGAUUUCAUUAUACAUCCAUGGUAACGCCAGAAUGUCUAAAACCUAGGGUUAUAAAUACGCUGGAGGCAGGACAUGUCAAUCAUCUCUCCCAACAAAACAUUCUAAACUUUCGAAUCCAAGCUCACCUACCUCUGAUGGCCACCUCACGUAUCAUUCUCAAUAAUUAGAAAGCCGGGCGUUUCUCUAACAAAGCGAAGAUCCGUAUGCUCUGAUUCUGGGAAGCCCGUAAUGUCAAGAAAUGAGGUAUAAAAAGUGGGAUUCAAUCCGCUGACAUAUGAGGUAUUUGCUCUCCACUGCGAUGUUAGUAUAUCAAUCCACCCAAUUGGUUAAUCUAAAGUUUGUCACCAAGGUCAACAAUUUACUUUCAUUCUUUGCCGUUUGUAUAUUAUGAGUUAAACAAGUGAAGGGAUAUGAUCAACUCAUUCAGUUUUGAUUAUAAUGUAUAUUAAGAACUUUAGUGCAUUUCAGCAAAAGUUGACUAUGGAAGAUCAAAACAAGCCCUUCACUACAACCAGAGGCCAUGCCGGCCAGAUUGUGGGAAGAAAAAACUCAGAAAAAGUAAGAAUGAGGAAAAAGAAGGGCUCACUGGUUACUGGUACUUUCCACAACCAGAUCUUCCAGAAAUAAUACUCGCCCAAGAAUACUUUGAUAGCAGCCGAGCUUCUUAGCCGGAGAUAAUGUUUCAGUCAUUGGCCAAAGAUGGAACUAUCCAAAUAACCGAUCAUGUGGAGAUUGAGAUAAGGGUUAUGAGUGUUGUCUACGAAUCUCAGAGAUAGCUUGAGCAGAACGUAAGGGGGAAAAUCAAAUAUUCACGGCUCUUCAUCAGCCAGGAAUGGCAAAUACGACCGGUCUUUUUCCUGAUUCAGCCCACUGAUGUAUGUUUGGGUGAUUGCAAAAUUACCAGUGUAAACAUUUCAAUUGACCCCACGUAUUGUAUGUUUUUGGUUUCCAUAUUUGUGAUCGUGCAGUUGAAGACCAUUAAAAAAAUUACCAUUGUAAACAUUUCAAUUGACCCCACAUAUUAUGUUUUCCCACUUGAAACAAAUGAACUCGGUAUAGUUGCCACAUGAGAAAAUAAUUUCAAAUUCAGACCUCUCUAUUGUGUAGAUGUUAUUGAACUUACGUAUAUAAGAAAAUCAAAUUUGUAAUCGACUAUCAAAUGUUUGGAAAGAAACAAAACGUUUUAUAUUUUAGAUU